GACGUCAAGCAUUCCUAUGAGCAUUUCAAAGCUGUCACAACAUUGAUACCGCAAUCUGUAAUGGAACAAUGCUAUCAUUCAGACACGGAUGCCUUUAAAAGUAUUGAAACAUCUAGAGACCUACAUGUCAACUGCAAUCUUUGCAUCCAGAUGAGAGAACUCUAGGAAGAAAGCCUUGAAAUGCUCAUAGGAAUGCUUGACGUCGUCAACUGCACACAUCUCUCGGAUACUGUGCAUCGACAAUUGUGGGGCACCUACAUCGACUGUACGAAUCCCCACACCACUUGCUAGUAUUGGACCAAUGGUUGAACCACAGGGCAUGUCAUUGCGGACCACAAAAUCCUG
rnacentral:misc_RNA from 1 species